CGCGUAGGCGGGGGACCAAGUCCGGGGUGAAAUCUUUCGGCUCAACCGGAAAACUGCCUUGGAUACUGGUCUUCUUGAGGGAGGUAGGGGCAAGUGGAACUUCCGGUGGAGCGGUGAAAUGCGUUGAUAUCGGAAGGAACGCCGGUGGCGAAAGCGACCUGCUGGAUCUCUUCUGACGCUGAGGCGCGAAAGCUAGGGGAGCGAACG
rnacentral:rRNA from 1 species